UACAGAGGUCCCGAGCGUUGUUCGGAUUCAUUGGGCGUAAAGGGUGCGUAGGCGGCGGGGCAAGUCUGAUGUGAAAUCCCGGGGCUCAACCCCGGAACUGCAUUGGAUACUGCCUUGCUCGAGUACUGGAGAGGGAACUGGAAUUUACGGUGUAGCAGUGAAAUGCGUAGAGAUCGUAAGGAAGGCCAGUGGCGAAGGCGAGUUCCUGGACAGUUACUGACGCUGAGGCACGAAGGCCGGGGGAGCAAACGGG
rnacentral:rRNA from 1 species